rnacentral:lncRNA from 1 species
CUUUAGACUGUUGUACGGUCACAUUGGAUUUGAAAGCAACAUCCUUUCUUCCAUACAUCCACGCUACCUGAAAGACGACAGCUUCCUGAAUCCAACGAUACCAGUUAUGUGAACAUCGGACCUCCGCUUCAAAAGAUACGGCCAGACUGUUG